UACGGGGGGGGCAAGCGUUGUUCGGAAUUACUGGGCGUAAAGGGCUCGUAGGCCGCCAACUAAGUCAGACGUGAAAUCCCUCGGCUUAACCGGGGAACUGCGUCUGAUACUGGAUGGCUAGAGUUUGGGAGAGGGAUGCGGAAUUCCAGGUGUAGCGGUGAAAUGCGUAGAUAUCUGGAGGAACACCGGUGGCGAAGGCGGCAUCCUGGACCAACACUGACGCUGAGGAGCGAAAGCCAGGGGAGCAAACGGG
rnacentral:rRNA from 1 species